rnacentral:rRNA from 1 species
GACGAACGCUGGCGGCGUGCUUAACACAUGCAAGUCGAACGGAAAGGCCCUGCUUGCAGGGUACUCGAGUGGCGAACGGGUGAGUAACACGUGGGUGAUCUGCCCUGCACUUCGGGAUAAGCCUGGGAAGCUGGGUCUAAUACCGGAUAGGAGCCAUUUUUAGUGUGAUGGUUGGAAAGUUUUUUCGGUGUAGGAUGAGCUCGCGGCCUAUCAGCUUGUUGGUGGGGUAAUGGCCUACCAAGGCGGCGACGGGUAGCCGGCCUGAGAGGGUGGACGGCCACAUUGGGACUGAGAGACGGCCCAGACUCCGACGGGUGGCAGCAGGGGGGAAUAUUGCACAAUGGGCGCAAGCCUGAUGCAGCGACGCCGCGGGGGGGAUGACGGCCUUCGGGUUGUAAACUCCUUUCGCUAGGGACGAAGCUUUUUGUGACGGUACCUAGAUAAGAAGCACCGGCUAACUACGUG